GACAGAGGGUGCAAACGUUGCUCGGAAUUACUGGGCGUAAAGGGCGUGUAGGCGGGAAGGCAAGUCGGGCGUGAAAUCCCCAGGCUCAACCUGGGAACUGCACUCGAAACUGCCUUUCUUGAGUGCCGGAGAGGAAAGCGGAAUUCCUGGUGUAGAGGUGAAAUUCGUAGAUAUCAGGAGGAACACCUAUGGUGUAGACAGCUUACUGGACCACGACUGACGUUGAGACACGAAAGCGUGGGUAGCAAACAGG
rnacentral:rRNA from 1 species